UACGGAGGGUGCGAGCGUUGUCCGGAAUCAUUGGGCGUAAAGGGUGCGUAGGCGGGUCUUUUAAGUCAGGGGUGAAAUCCUGGAGCUCAACUCCAGAACUGCCUUUGAUACUGAAGAUCUUGAGUUCGGGAGAGGUGAGUGGAACUGCGAGUGUAGAGGUGAAAUUCGUAGAUAUUCGCAAGAACACCAGUGGCGAAGGCGGCUCACUGGCCCGAUACUGACGCUGAGGCACGAAAGCGUGGGGAGCGAACAGG
rnacentral:rRNA from 1 species